GAAAGUUACAAUCAUCAAGUAUCACCCCUGAACCUGAAGAACUCCUAUAAUCUGCAAGAAAAGAAUGAAUUUAUACCUCAAUAGUGAAUGUUACCUUAAUAGUAGAUCGAACCAACUUUAUGGGUAUGAUGUCAAUAAUGAAUGAUUUGCCUCACAGACGCAGAAUAUAACAAUAGUAGCUAUAACCUAAAGAAUCUAUGAAGUAGAAUCCUUCUCAAGAUAAUAAUUUUGAUACAAUGGGAUGAAAUAAGCAAUAAUAC